GGGAAAGUAGCUCUGUGCUAGAGUGCUUGCCUGGCACGCACAAGUCCCUGGGUUCAACCCCUAGCACUGCCA
rnacentral:tRNA from 1 species